rnacentral:lncRNA from 1 species
GAACAAUUAAAGUGGACCAAAAAGAAUAAAGACUGUUCUAGUUUAGAUAUUGGAUGUGCUAGCUUAAAACUUGUAAUCUCAGAGAGGUUAAGGAUGCCAGGUUUACCUCCGUAUAGGGUCGGUGGUGCGGUGAUCACCACCUGACCCCUCGGGUUGAAGGACCAGAGGCUACGUUCGUCCUUGUCAGAGGUCGGCUGUGUGCCUCCUCACAACCUAGCUGUGCCAUCUCCAAAAUGCGAUAAGGACCGGUAUUUGCUCAGGCAGUGGCUCCAGAUACCAGUUAAUGUACACCCGGUGCAUUCAAGGCUGUAGAACUGGAACACAGGGCGCUAAACCUACCCGGAGAAGACUGUAAACAGGGAAGGUGGCAUUGGAAGCUUCCGGCCGCGGCUGGCCUCCUUGGGCAGCCCCACAAGGAGAAGAGGGAAGUCACGCCAAAUUUUGCAAAGAAGAAGCUCAUCCUAAAGGCGUAGAGUCCUUGCCAGCGGCCUGUGUCCAUUCGGUCAGCCCCUCCUCCCAUCCCCGGUGCUGGGGGGAAGGUGCUCCCAGCUGGGCCCCGGGCACCAGGCCUCGAUGCCAGCCUGAGGUCUGCAGAGGCUCCCAGAACCGGACAGGACCUCGCUCGGCUCUCAAGGUGAGUUCACCUGAGUUACUUCCUGAGUUAACCUCCAAGUGGU